rnacentral:rRNA from 1 species
GACAGAGGGUGCAAACGUUGCUCGGAAUUACUGGGCGUAAAGCGCGUGUAGGCGGACCAGCAAGUCGGACGUGAAAUCCCUGAGCUCAACUCAGGAACUGCAUCCGAAACUGCUGGUCUGGAGUGGUGGAGAGGGAAGCAGAAUUCCUGGUGUAGAGGUGAAAUGCGCAGAUAUCAGGAAGAACACCAAUGGCGAAGGCAGCUCUCUGGGACGGUACUGACACUGAGACGCGAAAGCGUGGGGAGCGAACAGG